rnacentral:rRNA from 1 species
AUGUUAUUGUGUCUGCGAUCUAGACUGGCCCCACAAAAAUCAACACUAGACUUUCCUGCGCACUUUGUUCUCACGUGUGCGCACCUAGGAACAACUUCUCAGUCGGUCACCCAUCCUCAAAUUGCUCCGAGCCAAUCACGUAGCUUUGAGGUUCUUGUGGAUGGGCUGCCAAAAAAGAACAUGCACCUUGUUGAUAUGAGUAGUCUAUCAUUCCUAUUAAGAGGGAUGUCACAAGUAUCAACUCGGGUUCUUCCUCCUCCAUCAGCAUGUCCAAAUACCUCACAUUUCUAUAAAUCACACGAAUGGUUAGGCUAG